rnacentral:tRNA from 1 species
GAUGAACGUCGGGACUGGGAGCCCGCGGCUGACUGUAAAUCAGCUCCUUUGAAAGGUAUGGGGUUCGAAUCCUUCCAUCAUCC